GGGACUCAGCUAGUAUUCACACGACUGCAGGAUUGCCACAACCCAUUGCCUAUGCUCCUUUGCCCUACCAGUGCUUCUAAAAACUUUAAGAAGGAACACCAUAAGAUUCAUCACUGGAAACAGACUUAAGUCGCUGAAGCGUAGUCCAUAAUAAUUAUCACAUCCUUCAAGAUGAAAUCACUUUUGACUCUUGGGCCAAGACUGCAACCAGAUUUCAGGACCCAGCGUUUCCUUUCCCUCAGAAAAGAUAGAGCUGUCAGCACCUCUGGCAGGCCCUGCAUCUACACCCAGCUGACCUUGUGGCACAGUGCAGUGGAUUUACAACACACAGAGGGUGGGGAAGGAGCCAGAAUCACCGUGAAGUAGUGCUGUGUCAAAUGCAGUGGGAGAAAGGCUGCUCAGUCAGGAUCUCAGGAAGACUUUCAUCCUCGCUAGACCGGAGCUGAAGUUUAUAUGACAAGCAGAUGUGAAAUCUCCUCUGGAAAUUCAGCUGCCAUGGACUCAAGAACAAACUGAAAAAAGGAAAAUAAAGCCCACUAAUGUGAGGUAAAUUUUACAAGGUAAAUUAAUUACAAGGUGAUCUAUUCAGUGACUGGGAGGCAAGAUUUGCUUAUGCUGACUGUUCCUGCUUUGAAUCAAACUGGAUCAAUCAGUUCAAACCAAAAAUUAACUGUGGUUGCAACACUGAUGCUGUAAUUGAGUGGUUCACACCUUAUUUAUCAUAACAAUGGAUAAUAAACAUAGAAAUCAAGAAAUCCAUGAUUAAGUUCUGAUGGCAAAAAGACAGAGUCACAUUACUCUUAUACUAAAAGUGGAUUAAACCAAUGCCAGAUUUGCUCAGUGAAUAAAUAGGAAGAAGAAUUUGAAUAAAAGUGGGAAAUGUGCAACAUCAAUAAAAAGUCUGACUAAAGGUCAGUGAUUAAUGUGAAA